rnacentral:rRNA from 1 species
AUGAAAUCUUUCUUUGGUGAGUACCGUGAGGGAAACAUAGUUGGGAGAGUGGUUAUUGGGUUUAUCUCAAAGUUGCAUAAAUAGAUUAGAAAUAAGUGGGUUGUGAAAAAUAAAGAAUAAAUGUUAAUUAGUACUUUUUGUAUCAUGGGACAUAGAGGGUUUGCUUAGUUUAGUAGUCCUGAAAGGCCUCGAGCUAUCUUCUUUUUCCUAGGGUUAAUGAAUUUUGGGAGGUUUUGUGAUGUUGCAAUAUCAUGAUAAAGGGGAAGGUAGUGGCGACAUGUCUGUCGAGAGGCCUGAUAGCUGGUUCGUUGGGAAAUGUGCAUGAGCAUAGUGAGGCUAGUAGCAGUUAACGAGGAAAGGAAGUUUUCUGUUUGGCUUUAGUGAGGCUAAGGGGGUUAAGCUCCUUAGCGUUUUUGAGAGUUAUUUUUAUCAUUAAGUAGGGUUAAUAGUGCCUUUCUUAUUUUGAAAUUUUGUUCAAAGCAGUUUAUAAAGGGCAGUUGAUUUUUACUGGCGGUUGGCUUCGAGCUAAGAAGUUUAACAUUAGUAUGUCAUGCGUAAGUGAAAAAAUAAUUAAAAAUUGGUUUCUUUAUAUCUUGAUGAGGGAUAGGGUUAGUGGAAAAAGAAAGUUUAUUAUCAGUUUUGGUUAAUUAGGGGUUCAAUUUUGUUGGGCUCUGAGUUGGCAGCGGGCUUCGGUUCGUGGGGUUACUAAUUUUAGUGACCUGAGUUUGAAAUUAAGAAAAGUAAGUCUAAGGAACUCGGCAAAUAUCCUCUUCGCCUGUUUAUUAAAAACAUCGCUCUUAGGUUAUAUUAUUAUUAAGAGUCGUGCCUGCCCGGUGAAGAAAUAUCUUUAAACGGUUGCUGUUGAUAGCAGUACGAAGGUAGCACAGUAAAUAGUCCUUUAAUUGGGGAACAGUAUGAAUGGUGUGACGUGAGAGGGUCUGUCUCAGGCUUAAAUACUGAAAUUUAUUUCUAUGUGAAAAGGCAUAGAUGAAUACAUUAGACGAGAAGACCCCGUUGAGCUUGAUGAGGGUUGUUCUUUUUGAAUUGACUUAAAGUUUGGUUGGGGUGACUGGAUGCAAAAUUAACGUAUCUGAAUUUGUAGAAGAUGAAGAUCCCUUAUUAAGGAUAUGGAGAAAAAGCUACCACGGGGAUAACAGCGUAAUGUCUUUGGAGAGAUCAUAUUGAAGAAGAAUGUUGCGACCUCGAUGUUGAAUUAGGGUGUUAUCCUGGCGCAGCAGUUAGGAUUGUGGGACUGUUCGUCCUUUAAAACUCUACAUGAUUUGAGUUUAGACCGGCGUGAGCUAGGUCGGAUUCUAUCUUUGUUUUAAACCUCUUUUGUACGAAAGGAUCGGGAGGUUGGCUUAAUUAAGUUUAAUAUA